rnacentral:rRNA from 1 species
GAUGAACGCUGGCGGCGUGCCUAUACAUGCAAGUCGAGCGAACGGAUGAGAAGCUUGCUUCUCUGAUGUUAGCGGCGGACGGGUGAGUAGCACGUGGAUAACCUACCUAUAAGACUGGGAUAACUUCGGGAAACCGGAGCUAAUACCGGAUAAUAUUUUGAACCGCAUGGUUCAAAAGUGAAAGACGGUCUUGCUGUCACUUAUAGAUGGAUCCGCGCUGCAUUAGCUAGUUGGUAAGGUAACGGCUUACCAAGGCAACGAUGCAUAGCCGACCUGAGAGGGUGAUCGGCCACACUGGAACUGAGACACGGUCCAGACUCCUACGGGAGGCAGCAGUAGGGAAUCUUCCGCAAUGGGCGAAAGCCUGACGGAGCAACGCCGCGUGAGUGAUGAAGGUCUUCGGAUCGUAAAACUCUGUUAUUAGGGAAGAACAUAUGUGUAAGUAACUGUGCACAUCUUGACGGUACCUAAUCAGAAAGCCACGGCUAACUACGUG